CGGGGUGAGUAACGCGUGGAUAACCUGCCUCACACUGGGGGAUAACAGUUAGAAAUGACUGCUAAUACCGCAUAAGCGCACAGUACCGCAUGGUACAGUGUGAAAAACUCCGGUGGUGUGAGAUGGAUCCGCGUCUGAUUAGCCAGUUGGCGGGGUAACGGCCCACCAAAGCGACGAUCAGUAGCCGACCUGAGAGGGUGACCGGCCGCAUUGGGACUGAGACACGGCCCAA
rnacentral:rRNA from 1 species